UCCUCCUUAGCUCAGCUGGUUAGAGCACCUGACUGUUAAUCAGGGGGUCCUAGGUUCAAAUCCUAGAGGAGGAG
rnacentral:tRNA from 1 species